UGUAGACACGUAUUUUGCCCUUACCUGCCACAAACCCACUUUCCCCUUUGCCCUUUCUUCCACGAGCCCACUUACUCUUACGUUUUUGUUUCUCAAUUCGCUGUAAUUUUCCUGAUUGGUACUCUAAGAACCUUCAGUAAAAUCAAUAUUCCCCCUUUUGUUUGCAUGGCUCUCGCAGGCAUUGUGGAUUAGAAUAAGCUUGAUCCUAAGGUUAAGAAGGGAAGAAGCAUCUUUAAGAAAGGAGGCAAUUGUUAAGUACAUCAUUAACAACAAGGUUCAAAUGACAAUACAAAUUGACCUACCUUAUCCACAUCCCCAAUUAUAUACAAGCUUGAUGGAAUACGAAAAUGAUCAUGACAGAAUAUAGAUAAUAUAAGGUGGGUAAGGUAGAUCAUAAAUUUUAUUUAUGUUUUUUCUUUUCGCGGUGGUAUUACAGUCACAAUCUUGGUAAGGUACUAACUUUUUUUAUUUCUAUUCUAGAGUUAUCUAUACCUUUUGCUCUUUUCUUAAUUGAUUCUGCAAUGCAAGUUUUCUUUUUAAUAAUUGGUUGUUAAAUUUCUUGGUUCCGUCCAAAUUGCCUCUCGAAGAACAUUCUCUGAGGUUGCCGCAUUUGGGAGAGUUGAGACAGCUGCACUAGGGAUAUUGUUCUGGGGAUUUUUCCCUCUUCUCCUUCGCUGUCUUGAGCUUUUGGCUCUUUUGUUAACUAAUUUUGCAGAUGCAUAUAUUUAUUCACUGUUCUGUGUCAAUUUCAUAGCAGUCAAAUUUUAUUAAGAGGAAUGCAAUGAGAAUAGAGGAAGGCUAUGUGAACAAAAUUUCCAAAGGGAAUGUGUUUCUAAUGCAUUGUGAGUGUGGUGGAUGGAUUUUGCAUUCGUGCUAGCUUCCACUGGGUUUACAUGAAGCUAUAUACAAUGGAGAAUACAAGAAGUUAUAGUUUAUCUACAAGCAAGCAUCUCCAUGGCUUUUGCAACUGUUGUCACUCUUAAUCCAUUAUCUUUUAAUGAGGUUUGGUCAUGAAAUUUUUGAGUUGAUAUUUUAGGAACAAGCACUACCAAAUUGAAGCCCCUUCACGACCCAAGAAUUGGAUGAACAUUAACUCAAGGCAGAGAAGGAGCCUAUAAACCCUUCGAUAUAGACUGCUGGUUUAUCAGAGUGGAGUGUACUAUGGAGUCAUAUAUCUUUGGUUCUGUGUCACCUUCUUUUGGUAGACAUUAUUGUGAGUUUCAUUUUCUUUUGUAUUUCAAAAGACGUAGACUCAUUCACUUCUUUGUGGUUGUAUAUAUUUUGCCUUCACAAUGUUGAAUACGUUGUAAUUGCAAAGUUUCAUGAAAUGGACUUUGCCACCUCC